CCUAUCUUCCGUGGGCGUAGGAAAUUUGAAGAGGAUCUGUCCCUAGUACGAGAGGACCGGGAUGGACGAACCUCUGGUGCACCAGUUGUCGCGCCAGCGGCACCGCUGGGUAGCUACGUUCGGAAAGGAUAACCGCUGAAAGCAUCUAAGCGGGAAGCCCCGCCCGAGAUGAGAUUUCCCUGAAGGUCUCUGGAAGACGACCAGUUUGAUAGGCGGGAUGUGUAAGCGCUGUAAAGUGUUGAGCUAACCCGUACUAAUCGACCGUUCGGCUUGACCAU
rnacentral:rRNA from 1 species